ensembl:lncRNA
GGCUUCAAAAUGCUGUUAACUUACUAACUGGGCUAUCAAACAUCCAGCAGUGCUACAUCAAGUGUAGCUUCUGGUUGAUGUGAAGAUAUUUCACAUUAGCCCACAACAGGACUGAACCGUACUAGAAAAAUACUACACACGGUGUAAGCUGUAAUGAAACCACCUAGCAGGCACCUCAGUUGAGAAAGUAUGGAGAUGCUUCGUAAAACAGAAGCGCGUUUGUUAAAAUAACUUUUGGUAGUCUUCUGUUUCGAGACUGUUUCUGAAUUGUAGAAAUGAAUAAUCCCAGCUCAAAGAGAAAGAUAUGUAUUAGUAGCAACAAGAAACGGCAUGCCUCUUCUGGAGGGAAUCCCCAUUUGAAUCAUUUUUAUAUGGCUCUCAUGGAGCCAUCUGUAACCCCAAAGUCUACCAGUAAUCCAAUGGAAGUACCCCAUUUAUGCAAUUUUUCUAAGAAGGCAAAAGUCAAAGCCUGAAAAACCUAAGUUAGCCAUAAGAUUGAAGUCAAAUUAAACAUUCUCCAAAUUGACCAUUUGUGGCCAUUUUAAUUUUGUAUGAAAGAUACCUAGGAAACUUUAAGACAACGUUCAAACUAAACAGUUCUCCUGAGAACCAGCUUCAUUUACUCUCUGGUUAGGCUUAGGGAGUAAAAGGACAGGUUUUAAAAAGUAAUCUGAAGAUGCAGUAAUAAGAAUCUGGCAAGAAGUUAAAGACUGUUUUCCUAAUGUUCUCAGGAACUACUUUGUUCACUGGAAGGCUAGUCUACAGAGAUAUUCUGCACCACAAGUCCAGAACAAAGGCCCCACUCAACUGGGGUUUUCCUUCCAAGAACUGUAUACCUCACAUAGUCCUGGAAGAAGAAAACUUUUGGCAUUAGUUUUGUAUUAAAUACACGUGACUUAGUCCAGCUGCCGCUGAGCCAGAAAUGUUUGUCCCUGCCCAUGAAGCCCAGCAAUGCAGAAAUGAGAACAACAUUUUAGAAAUGAGAACCAGAGCUCACAAAUUCAUUAGCUCAUUGUCACUGAGUUAUCUAGAUCAAUCUACAUUAAUCUAUGCCCGUGACAGGGGGGCAGUAGGCCCGUGGGCCCCCUGGCUCUCAAAAAAUGGGAAGGGAAAAAGGAAAGGGUAGCAGAACGGGAGCUGGGCUCAGAGAGGGAAAAAGAACGGAGCAGCAGCAACGAUCUAAGGAGGAAAACUUAUUUUACUAUGAUAUCGGAAUGCAAGAUAACACAAUAUAAUACAAUCUAAUUGAAAUUAAGGGUAAUAAAUCAAAUAAAAUAAGGGAGAGAAAGUUUCCAAAACCGAAAGGCCUACGUGAAUGAAGGUGCACAGCUUGGAAGCACACCCACCCCUCUGCCUGAGUGUGAGAGAGAGUCAGAUCCUGUGACUUUCGUGCUGUAUCGCCCUUCUCUGACCAUGAGAUCCUCUGGGAUAGGUAGUUCUUCUUCUCUUUUGAGAAGCAGGUAUCUAGAAGGUUGUCAAUCCACAGAACUGGAGUAUUAACCCUUUAAUUACCUGUGCUGUACAUGAUGAUAUGAUGUGGAAUACCAAUAGCAAAAUUACAAAAUCAUGACACAUCUUCUGAAACUGGUGUCUCAUUCGAGUCUUAGCCAUGCUAUUUAACAAAACUCACUCCAGAGGACCAUUUCACUUAAAUUCAAAGGAUCACUUUGCACAUACGUGAGUUACCGCCAUAACCCAAGUAUCACAGACUCAAACUGAAUCUUCCUUCUCUCCUGCAUGGGAAUAAGCAAAGCAAAGCUAUGCAUGGUAAGAAGUGGAAGUAAUGACACAGUGGCUUGCCCAAAGCCUUGUGUGGUGUCCAAAGCGGACCUCAAAGAUAGAGGACUCUUCAGUUUCACAUUAGAACUGUAGACAUUCUGCGGGGUUUGUCGUGUGACACGGACUUCUGCCUCCCCUCAACUCCUUCUCCUGGCGGGGAAAAAUCGGUGGAGAAGUGCAAGCGGCUCAACUAGGGAAAAGGAAAUAAAUCAAGGAGAGCCUCUUUGGUGUUAUGAACAAACCAGGAAAGCAG